rnacentral:lncRNA from 1 species
CUGUUUUCUCUCUGAAGGUCACUGGUACUGCCCAAAUCAAAGCAAAGCACCUUACUUCAUCAUUGAGCAGGUUCAGCAGCAGUGCUGCUGCCCAGCAACAGCUUGACAGUAUUACAUAACAAUGAGCUUAUCAGUCAGCAGAGCCUUGAGCAUCUCAGCUACAAACUACUCACUGUGGCCCACAACUGGCAUGGAACUCAGGUGUCUUUUUGAGAUGAGAUUAUGGGUUGUUUUUAAAAAGACCUCCUAGGAUAUGUUCCUACUAAUAGAACAGGUUUUGUGGGCAUAUUAUACUCCUAACUACCCUGGUCACAGCCUUGUCUUUUAACAAUCAUUUUCAAGUCUUCCAAAUAAAUUCAAAGAGUAAACUAAACGCCAACAUGCAAAUUCUCCCCCACCUUCUUUGCUGGUGGAGACACUGGGGACUGCAUCAUUAGGUGGGGUUCAACUAGCAGAGCUGCCCUAAUGUGCAUUGCUGAUAUCCAGACCCAGCUGUCUGAUUAGCUUUAACUAAUAGGUUUACACUGAACCUAGAAACAGCAAGUAAACACUGUGCAGCAUCCCUGGGAAUAAAUAAAUAAAUAAGGAAAGCACUCAAGUAGUGGCAGUGGAUGACUCAGUAUGAUUAGUGAUUCAUAAAUAUUUUAAACAUCAGUCACCCUAGAUGAGGCAAAACUUAGGUCUGCUUUUGUAUGACAUGGUGAGUUAGUCUGAAGCAAGCAGAAAGGCUUCCUCCCUUGUAUAAGCAGCAACUGCAGGAGAUGCUUCUGAAGUACUUAUUUAUGGGGAUACGUUUGGAAGGAUCAAUGAUGAGCUGGUUCUGCACAAAAUCCCAGGGGCUUCCAGGCUGUAUAAUGGGAAAGGGAAGAAAGAGAAAGUGAGAUCAGUCUCGAAGCCACCUCACGCCAUACAGAAGAUGAAAUGCUAUGGUUUUUGUGAAACGGGUGGCCAACUAAUUCAAGUUAUUAGGUGGUCAUUUCUCAUCUCUAGGAGACCUGAAGGCUGCAGAUCAAUACUGCAAGUGAGUGAUUAGUAGAUAUCAAGCAUCAGGGUUUGCAAUUAUCUAAUCCAAAGGUUAAAUCCUUGUACCAGGCCUCAUACUGUUCUUUACUUGUGGGUAGCUCUGUCACCUCGGUGGCUUUGGCGUGGAUGACUUCACGGUUUUGUUUGUUGCAUUGGUGCUGAUAGCAGGUAAAUAUGGAGACAUAGCAAGAAAUGCAUUUCAUUUCUCUGCUAACUUCCAACGGAGGAAAAAGAGCGUUUUGGAGACUGAAUAAAGUCUUCUGCAUCACAUGUAAUUUUGCA